GGGGGAGAAGAGAGAGAGAGAGGUAAGUAGCCAGGGGGUAAAGACAGAGAGAGAGAGAGGUAAGUAGCCAGGGGGAAAAGAGAGAGAGAGAGGUAAGUAGCCAGGGGGUGAAAAGAGAAAGAAAGAGAGGUAAGUAGCCAGGGGGAAAAGACAGAGAGAGAGAGAGAGAGGUAAGUAGCCAGGGGGAAAGAGAAAGAGAGAGAGGUAAGUAGCCAGCGGGUGAAAAGAGAAAGAUAGAGAGUUAAGUAGCCAGGGGGAAAGACAGAGAGAGAGAGAGAGGUAAGUAACCAGGGGGAAAAGAGAGAGAGAGGUAAGUAGCCAGGGGGGAAAAGUGAGAGAGAGAUGUAAGUAGCCAGGGGGGAAAAGAGAGAGAGAGAGGUAAGUAGCCAGGGGGAAAAAGACAGAGAGAGAGAGAGGUAAGUAGCCAGGGGGGAAAGAGAGAGAGAGGUAAGUAGCCAGGGGGAAAAGAGAGAGAGAGAGGUAAGUAGCCAGGGGGAAAAGACAGAGAGAGAGGUAAGUUGCCAGGGGGAAAAGACAGAGAGAGAGGUAAGUAGCCAGGGGGAAAAGACAGAGAGAGAGAGGUCAGUAGCCAGGGGGAAAGAGAGAGAGAGAGAGAGUUAAGUAGCCAGGGGGAAAAGAGAGAGAGAGAGAGUUAAGUAGACAGGGGGAAAAGACAGAGAGAGAGAGAGAAGUAAGUAGCCA
ensembl:lncRNA